rnacentral:rRNA from 1 species
AUACGGAGGGUGCAAGCGUUACUCGGAAUCACUGGGCGUAAAGCGCGCGCAGGCGGUCUUUUAAGUUGGAUGUGAAAGUCUACGGCUCAACCGUAGAACUGCAUCCAAAACUAUUAGACUAGAGUGUGGGAGAGGAAGAUGGAAUUAGUUGUGUAGGGGUAAAAUCCGUAGAGAUAACUAGGAAUACCAAAAGCGAAGGCAAUCUUCUGGAACACUACUGACGCUGAGGCGCGAAAGCGUGGGGAGCAAACAGGAUUAGAUACCCUAGUAGUCC